UCGUUUCUUUUUCGCUCCCUCGUGAGCACAAGUGCUCACGUUGUUGUCGAGCUGUCAUAUGGAAUUGACAACGGACGGAGCGGGAGAUGAUUUAGAUUUAGAAUCCACCCAGUGUGGGUGGUAGAACAGCGGAGAAUGAGUUAUUUAGGGAUGGGAUGAAUUUAUCACAUGAGUUUAACAGACCGAUACAUAAUAAAUAUAGAACUUUUACGGGACACCAAGCGUCUGCUAUGAUGUGUAUUUGGGUGGAAGCGGAGGGUAAGGUCCCAACCCCAAAACAACAUUUCACAAGAGGAGUGAUAGUAAACUUUCUGCGUAGAACAUUUGUGGGCCUCGCUAUGCUUAGUUCGCUGAAAACGGAAAGCCAGCUCACAUGGGUUCUAAGUACUUUCGGUCCCCCGUUCCUGAUGCCACGACUGCCCUACUUCGCAUCAUAUUAUCCAGCUUUGCAAAGAAUCCUUGCUGGUAUUGGCGGCAAAAAAGCGUCAUGGGUGUGUGUGCGUGUGUUCAGGGGGGUUGACCUAGUUGUCGAGCAAAAUAAACUUCGGUGGGUGAAAAACACACAGAGGAGAGGAGAGUGAGAGUAAACAGCGCAGAAAUUGGGUGUCGAAGGAACGAAGUGGAAAAUGGAAUCAUCUUUCAGCGGUUCAGCUUCACAGCAUCCGAAUGGGCGAAAGGAAGGGAGGAAGGAUGUCAUGAUUGUGACUCUCUGACAAUUCACUGUUAUGAUCCUAAAUGUAAAUGGGCAUUUGAAUAUAAUUUGGUCAUCAGGUCAUUUUUCCAGAUAUUUUGACGGAUAUUAACGAUAAUUAACGAUGACGGAUAGAACGAUAAAAAAGUAAUUGAAAUGUAAUGGAAAAAAAUCUAAACAAAUUCUAUCUUAACUCAAAACAUAGUAUUAAUAAAAACGUUAGUAAUUUAAAUUAGUUCGUUUACUAAAGUUUUGAAUACGUAACCAUCAUUUAUUUAUAUAUUUUUUAGUCCGUUAAUAACAUUCAGCUCAAUUAAAAAAAUGUUUCUACAGCUUCAGACACCUCGUAUGUAUCGUUACCCUUACUCCUUCGUAAACUUCAAAUAAUAGGGAUAGAAGUCAAGCUAUUGAAAUGGCUAGAAUCAUAUCUGACUGACCGUACGCAAAUGGUGAGAUUUAAUGGGAAAAUUAUAAAAACGAAUAUUUGUUACAUCCGGAGUUCCUCAAGACUCUCAGUUGGGGUCACUUUUGUUCAUUUUAUUUGUUAAUGACGUUUGCGUUUUUCUUAACAGUGUUAAGGCGCUUAUCUACGCAGAUGAUUUGAAGCUGUAUAUGGAAAUAAAGAAUGAAGAAGACAUUCAAAAAUGAAGUUGACAUCUUUCAUAAUUGGUGGACUAAGAGUUUAUAACAGCUGAAUGUUAGGAAAUGCACUUUGAUGACUUUUACAAGAAGAAGAACAUCAUUGAACAAUGGUGUUAAUCUGGGGAAUCAACCCAUCAAUAGAUGUCAACGAGUAAGAGACUUGGGCGUGGCCUUAGAUUCGAAACUAACCUUUGUUGAUCAUUGUGAUACAAUCAGCCAUAGAGUAAAUAACAUGUUGAGCUUCAUCAAACGCUUUAGUUACCAUGUCCCCGAUCCGUACACAAUAAAAACAUUGUGUAUUACAUAUGUCAGAGCAAUUCUCGAAUACUGUAGUAUUGUAUGGUCCCCCUACAUAACUUCACACGAAGACAUAAUUGAAUCUGUACAAAAACAAUUUUUAUUAUUUGCACUUCGUAAACUAGGCUGGUCUGCAUAUCAUCUCCCUCCAUAUGAAGCACGCUGUAUGCUAAUCAAUAUGAAAAGCUUAAAAGAACAUCGGAACUCUGCCAUGAUUCUAUUUAUUAUUGGCAUCAUAUCACAACGAAUGAACUCAGAGGAAAUAUAAGGAAACCUAAAUUUUAACGCAUCGAUUAGGCACCUGAGAAACCCUGAUAUUUUCUACAUAGAUUACCGAAGAACGAAUUAUGCCAAAUACAAUCCUAUUAAUCGUAUGAUGAGCCUCUGUAACGAACACAGUGAAAUAAUUGAUGUAACCAUGUCAAGGUCAAUGCUAAAAGACUAUCCGAAUAGAAUAAGAUAUACUAAAAUUUCACUGUAAUAUUUGGGCAGCAUAUUUAGCCUACGAUGGGUUGACGAAAUAAAUCAAUAAAUAAAAAUUAUCAUGUAACUUGUUAAAAUCCUCUUUUGAAUUAAACGGAUAAAUUAUCCAGCCAGCUCUCUUUAGCUUUUUUUAGUUUUAAGUAAGUAGUUUAAAGUAGUAUUAAGAAUGUA